UCUUUCUCUCUCUCUCCCUCUCUCUCUCCCCUUGUGUACUUUUAGCCCACUGCUGUUCUCUGGUCCCCCUGGGAGCACCCACCCUUCUGGCCUAGGAUUUUGCCAAUAGGGACAAUGGUCAGUAAACAGAGAAGGCAGUUAUGAAACCCAGUGGAAGCAAACAGGGUCAGCACAAGUUCUGGCAAGCCCCAUGCAUGGACUUGAAAGCACACAGGCCUCAGCACCUGUAACCAAGGCCUCAGUUUCCUCAUUUUUAGAAUGAAGAGGAUGGUGUCAGGCUUGUGGAACAACAACAAAACCUAAGACCUGGCAUGCAUUAACUCCCAAAGGUUUCCUAGUUGCUGCUCUCUGCUCUCAGAGGCCUGGGCUGAGCAAAUCCAUACCUACUGGAUGGCAGCCUAGAGUGCUGGGUUGUGUUACAUCUACUCUGCCCAUGAUAGAAACAUCUGCUCAUUUUGAGGAUCCAGUCAAGAGGAAUUAUGUGACAUGAGUGACCAGCCCUUCUCCAGGACUGUUCACAACUGUUCGGGACUCAAAGACAAAGAAAGAGAAAAAGGUGAGCACUGCAUGUGACCAAGUUGAUUUGGAGGCUAAGUUUAUUUGUCACCAGGAUCCAACAGGUCUGGUGGACGCUCCCCAGGACAUGACAUACAGUUAUAUCAACCGGAGGGUACCACAUCCUCCUGCUAAUGGUUCAAUACACUCUUCUACAUUCCCACACCCUCCACAGCUAACCACCACCACAGUGUCCUCUGUGAUGGGUUCUGGCCGCAGCUUGAGCCGAUAGCCUGAAUGGCACUCUGCAGGCUGCAGGCAGAGGUCCCAGAGAGGACCAAGGAGUAGGCUUGCUGAAGAGGGAGAAGAUGAUCGGAUCCAGGAACCCAUGCCACAUCUCCAUGAGCUCAAACGCUGCAGAGAUGACAAGUGAAGGUUGAGUGACCUUCUGGCCAAGGAAGUACCAGGCCACGUUCAGGAAAGAAACUGCAGGAGGCCAGGGGACUGGGCACAUGGUUCCUUUCUACAAUGAUCUUAUUUCCUUUUAUAUAAAAUGGGGUUACAGUGCCUACCCUGCUGGAUGUCUGAUAGGACUGAAGAAACCCCUAGCUCUGAAUGUGCUACUGAACUGGUGCUUAGCAAUUGUGAUGUCCAAAGAAGGCCCUUACGCACCUGCAGCUCACUUGCUCCAUACCAUCCUUGACCCAUCCUGGACCUCCACUUAGUUUUUCACAUUGAAACCAAAGGACAGCUGGAGGGUUCCAACCAGAGCCAGAGAUUGGGUGGUGGCUAGUUCAGGGAUACGUGGGUGUCUCGGAAAGGGCCUUUACCUACCCCUAAAAAGCCAGCCUUGCUAUCUACCUCCACUAAUUCCAUUCCUCUAUGGAUCUGGCCUUCUCUGUCCUCUCAAAAGAACACAGACCCUAACACUCCCCAGCUGAGUGUGAACCGGAAACUCAACCCCUCUAAACUUCACUGCCCUUGGACAUAGAAUGACUAGACUAUAUGACAGAUUUGCUACACAUACUAUUAAUUAAAAAUAAAAUAGCAGAAAAUCCCCAUGAAGAGAUGAAGGUCAGAGGCUAGCAGGAAGCAGAGAAAAAGGAUUCACGAGAUCUCAUGUUCACGUGGUAAUCACUGUUCCAGACCCUUCCAUGGCCCCAGUGCAGAUAGACAGGUCUCCUAAGGCCAUCCUCUAAGAUCUGGUGCCCAGGAGCCUUAAGCAUUAACACUGCCUGACCACCAGAACACCCUCUGCUAUCUGACCUCAGCUCCCUGCCUACCACCUCCCAGAACCCAGGAACCUAGCUUUCAUUCUGGGCAUGUGUGACCUUGGAACUGGCACUCCGGUUCAGAAGAGACAGAAUAAAUUGGUGAGUUCCGGGUACCAAGAGGAGCUCCUUCUGUAACCCCAGCCUCUUCUUCUGCACCUCCCACAACAGCUGUUAGCAAUUUGUUCAUGGGCCCCAACAGCAGUGUAGCUGUCUCUCCCCAAAGGCCUGGAAUGCAGUUGUUCUCAAGCCAGCAACACAGCCAGGGAGCCAAUCAGAAGGAGGAUCUGGGGAGAGGAAAAUUACCCGUGCUGGCCCUCACCAGUGCUGGUGAGACUGGCUUGGAAAGAGGGGAGCUGGGGGCCUGGCAGCUCUUCCUGAACAAUGAACUUGGUCCCAUGCCUUGACCCCUGUCUGAGCUAAAGGGAUAGUGGGUGCACUUGGGGCCCCAGUACUCCUCUGGAACAUGCCUACUCUUUGGCAUCCAGAAACAGGAGGAGGAACAGGCAGGCCUUUGUACUGCCUGCUUGCUGAGCCCCAGAUCCUACCAUGACAGAGCCUGCUGGGGCCUAGGGACACACAAGAGCCAGAGCUCAAGUACCAAGCUCUUGGGACCAUGCCUGUCCAUCUUAUACGCCACACCAGUGUCACAUACAUACCAUGUGACUACAUCGCAAGCCAGGCCUUGUGUCCCUUAGGCUUCAUGGUAAGGUCUACUUUGUAUGUGAAUUCACACUUGCCUUCAGUCAUGACUACUGACCUGCACACACUGCUAUGCCCACUGAACUGUGGCUCAGCCCUGAGCAAGACAUGCCAUUCCUUGUUUUGGACUCAUAAAUGGUGUUCCUCGCCCCGGGGGCAUAUGUAGCCUAAGGGGCAGGGACAAUGCAGUGUCACAGUUAAAACCACACCCACCAGCCUCUUUCACCACGUGACCUUGCCAAAGCAACUUCUGUCAGUGCCUCACCUUCUUCAGAUCUAAAAUGGAAUGACAGUAACAUUUCUCUGGCAGAAUGGUGUAGAUUAAAGUAGAUAACGCAACGGUUUGCAUCCCAGCACCUGCAUACUUGGGAUGUUGUUUUGGAAACAAAAGCCCUAGUGUUCGGCUGGAGAAAUCAACUUUCCAUUGUCAGCAACUUGAGACCCGCCUGGAGCGGCUGCCAGUAGAGAGUGGCUAUGAACAUGUCUGCAGACAAGGUGAAGAAAAUCUGACUCAGUGGCAGGAAUGACUAUCUACACAGGAUGCAUGGAAAGGAUUCGUUCUUUGCCCAUUCUCCAACACUCAGCUCAGGGCCUAAAUAUCUGUCACGUGAUUCAUGGAUUCCAGAAUCCGGUGAGCAUUUAAGUAAAAAAAAAACAAAAGCCCAGAAAGGGUGGGGUGGGGCAGCUCAGGAAAACAGACCGGCCAGCCUCUCCCACAGCAAAGAAGAGAAUGUUCUAGAUGAAGAGAAAGCAAUCAGUGUGCCAGAGACUUGUGACAAGGCUAUCUGCGGAUCUGACAGGACCCCGGGUCAUCUUGCUCACAUGGAGUUCAUGGAGGUACAGGACAAGAACAAGCAGGCCAGCUCAGCAAGCGCUCAUACUCAGCUAGACCCAAGCAGGUCUGCUUGUGGUCCUGCGGUGUUUGCAAAAGCAGGGCAGGCAGGGAGAAUGCAAGGUCCUUGUGACAUUGCUAGAGAGCAAAGUACACACAGAAAGGGACACUCCUUACUGAUAAAAAUCUCUCAGAGGCAGCUCCCUCAUGGAGCGAAACAGCACCCCAGAAGCCAGACAUGGUUCUUCAGUGUCAGCUGGGGCCAGGCCAGGCCUCUGUCUGGGCCUAGAGAACCUUCCAGGAACCCCUAGCUCCAAGGACUAAGUGUCUUGAUGACCAUCAAAGGCCCUUUUAUCUAGACUUUAAGAGGGAUAGUAGGCGGCUCCUGUCAUCGCUCAGGAGCUAGGUGUGGCGGAGAGCUGAACAAUGCAGGCACUCACUUCCUGAUGCUAUGGGCAAGCAACAGGGACAUCACAGGCUGCUCACUGAUGCCAUGGGCUGAAGGGCUUUCUCUUCAUACAGUAAGAAAUUUUCUUCUGUUCAGAACUGAAACACUGUCACAGCGACCCUCUUGGCUUUCCGGCUCACAAAGGCCUUUGGCAUCUACAGGCGCAUCUGAUCCUCCCACCCCCGCGCCCCGCACCACAUCCCUGUUAGAUGUAUGGGAGUUGGGGGGCUGCGGAGUUGUGCAAUGCACCUGCCUUACAGGGAGGAAAGCCCUUGGAAAGCAAUCUGGGUCUCCUGGCUGGGAGCCCAGCUCUCUGCUCUCCCAGGGCUCUGCAGGCUCACCUGGAAUCUGAUAGGUGGGCCCGCCCACCCAGCCAGGUGGCAGUGACUCAUCCACCCUCCCGUGACUCACACUCCUCAGGUGCCUCCUAAGGUCAACAAGCCGGGGACUUGAUGGCCACAACCCAACUUCUCUCACCUCUCUGCCACAUGCAGGGAGACUCCCUGCCUCUCCUCCUCCUCAUGGGGAAUCUGCCCCACCAUACAAGGGGUCCCAGAAGACUUGAGAACACAGCAAGAAGCAUAGCCCAUAGCCUGGGUGGGAGCAGACAUCUGGGCACUCAGCCCACCUCAUCCCUCGCCCUCAGGGCUCCCCUCGCCUGCCUUCCCCUUGUUGAGGAGCAGAUGAGUUAACACAUUGACAGUAGCGGCCACAGGAGAAACCUUUAAAUCCACAAAGGCUCUUCAGCCACUCCCACUCUAGAAUCGUCUAGACUCCCCUGGACACUGGGUGGACAGUGGCUCUGUGUUCUACUUACCUUACAGGCUGCACAAGGAGAGAGCCACUCCGAGAGGAGAUGCUAUGACAGCGGCUGAAGCACUGGAAGAGAAGCUGGUGGUACCUGGAAAAGGGUCCAGGAAUCUCAGUGUCAGAGUCUGAGGUCACAUGGGUAAAUCCCUCCUACUUGCAUACCUCUAGUGAUGAGGCACUCACUUCCUGCUAGCACUGCCCACACCUGCUGCUGGAGGGUUGGGCGGGGUAAGAGUGUGCCUCGGGGAUGCCAGGCCAUGAGCUCCUUGGCAUAACUGCUUUCUCUGAGGCUGUGGUAAAUGCCACACCCAGAGCAUGUUAGAUGAGGGGCUGAAGGUCCAUCCUUUAUCCUAGACCCAAACCAAUGGUGGGUUGUACAGCUGAGUCCUCUGGCCUCUGUCAAGAAGGCAGACUCAGGCCCACUCUGGAAGAUCUUGCUACCCAAAUUGGCUUCUCCCUGCCAAGGGGAGAGUCAGGAUCCUCGCACCGAGGGGCCUCACGGGCUCCUCAGAUGAGAAUACAAGCUCCUUCCUUGAGCACAGAACAUAGCAGACAUUGCUGAUGGUUUCUGCAGUGUCAGUAGGUGAUACAGAUGUACAGCAGUGGCUGUGGAGCCACGGGAAGAGAGGUCAGAGGUCACACGUUUAUCUGGGCCUGGGGAACUGGAUUUCAAUGGCACCUCUGCAAGCCUUUCACAGAUAUCUUCCAGAAAGAAAGCCCUAAUUCCUAAGGGCAGGUCAAGGCAAGUUGGGUGUUUGGUUUUGGAAAUGACAUCCUCUACUUCAGUCCAGACUCAUUUGUUCACUUGAGGGGCUGCAUAUGUUCCCAGAUGCUUCACGGUCAGCAAAGGGUACCACCAUCCAUCACCUCCCAUCCACCAUCCACACAAGGGUCCUGGCAGGCAUCACCCUCCUCCACCUCCAGUUCACUUUGACUUCCAACUACUUCCCGCCAGCUCAGUCUCUGACUACCCCAGAACACACCUCAGCUCUCCACCCCGACUGCCACUGCACAGCUGGACAGUCUAUCUUUGACUCCUUCGCAGUGCACCCGCCUCAGAAAAAGAAAGCUCAGACCACAUCACCGGGUUUGCUCUGACUCUGCUGGGCUCUGAACGGCACCCAUACGAACCCCCUGAACCACAGUCGUCAUCCUCAGGCAUCUUUGGUCUGUGCCUGCCAGACUCCAGCCAGACACAAGCGUGUUCUAUUUCCUGCAUGCUCUGGGUAAUCUUUGUGUGCGCUGUUUUCUUGAAUCCCCCUCAGCACCCUGGGUCUUCUGCCACACGAAAUUACAGCAGCGUAUUUCUUUAUUGGGCUAUCCCCACAGACUAAGAUCUGUUUACGCGGUUCCAGACCCUGGCCCACUGCAGCUCCGGAUAUGCCAACGGCAGAAGCCAGUGCUUGUACACAUGCUUAACACAUGUGCUGGCAGGCACAUUCAUUCCCACAGAGCCUGCUCACAGUACAGAUGCUGCCAUCUAUGGGUAAGAAAAGGACUUGGUUCUCCUUGAGAGUGCGACAUCAGGUUUCACACCAGGCUGGGUUUACAAUGAGCCCCAGCUAAGUCUAAGUUUGAGGGGUUUCCCUUCUAGAAUCUUAAAGCUGCAACAACUCAAAAGCAAGCUCUCCAGACGAUGUUGGUACUAGCUAGGUCUCCACCUCCACACUCCCAACGGAGCAAGAAAGAGCGGGUUUCUGUGGCAGUCCUCACCAGCCCAGCUCAAGGUCUCUGGUUCUGAGUCUGCCUGCUGAACACCUCAGACCUCAGGGAGAGGAGAGAGAGUCGGGCUGUCCAUCACAGAAAGGCUGGGCUCUGGCCAGGGAGCUCACUGACAGUCAGUGUGCACGCCACCUGGGGACCACACUGAUCUCGUCUAGGCUGCUGAGAGGGAACGUUCGACCUGUGGGUGGUGGAGGCUGCCGCAGUGGCUCUUCUCAUCCUACAAGGCCCUUCCUGAGUCAGAAGGAUUGUUGGGCUUGAUGGCCAGUCACACUAAAGGAUUCAAACAGCCAUCUCCAAUGACAAUAGCUGCCACUGUCUGCACACUUACUACAUAUCAGAUUCUACAGGCAAUACAGUAAGUCUGCCGGGCAGAUAUUACUACACACACCUUGCAAAGCAAGACCCCAGGCUCGGGGAGGUAAAGUAAGGUGCCAUGAAUCUGGUCACAGCUAAGAUGUUGAGACAGUUGCCACGUCAGACUGCCUCUCUUAGGCCUAGCUUGUACCUAAUACCAGGCUGUAUAAGGCUAGGCCUCCUGCUCACUUAGAGAGAUACCUGAAGCUUGGUUUGCUCAGGUUUACAAGCAAACUUCUGCAGAGGGCAAGAGGGUACACGAUCUCAGCCAAGGCGGGCUACUGCUCUCUCUUGGUUUUUUUCCUCCUUUCUUAUUUAUUUGUUUAUUUGUUUGUUUGUCAUUUGGCUUUUAAAAACCACUCUUAGCUCAGAUCCAUACAGAAACAGACUGAAGCCCCUCUGGCCCAGUUAGUCAUUCACAUACUUACUGAGAACAUGUUUAUCAUCUUAAGAGUGAAACCUUCUGGGGGAGAUACUUAUCAGAGCCACAUUGCAGGCCCUUCAUCUGCCUUCUCUCCCUUCAGAUGGCUUCCCACUGAGUCAGUCUCUCCUACUGUAAGGCCCUACCUCUCCAUGACUUAGCAGAAAACUAUCUCAACAACUGCUCACAUGCUAGAAACAGUGGAACAAUGUCUGACCCAAAGUUCAAAAAGAAGAGGAAGCCCACAGGAUGGGUAUAAGGAAUCCCGAGGGUGAGAUAGCAAGAGUCCUGGUGGGGCAGCUCAUGGGUGGAAUGCCCUCUGGGUUCUAUGCCCUGCUCUGAAGAAAAGAAAAAAGUGCCAGGAUCUAGACUGACUAUUUAUGCCUUAUCAAUAGACUUGCCUUUUAGAUAUUCAUUCUAAACUAUCAAUUGAUAAUCUGCCCCCCACUUGUUUUCUUUGAGACAGGGUCUCAUUUAUCCCUGGCUACCCUUGAAUUCAAUACACAGCCAAAAGUGAUCUUGAAUCUCUGAUCUUCCUGCCCACUAUAUACAGGUGAGCACCACCACACCCAUGUUAGCAUUCCUGGAAUCUAACUCUGAGCUUCAAGAAUGCUAUGUGAGCACUCUACAGUCCUCAGUUUAGAAUCUUCCAAUUCAGUAUGGCCCCCAGACCAGCAACAUCAGCAUCGGCUGGGAGCUCAUUAGGAUGCAGAGUCCAGGCCCCAACGCAGCCUACACCUACAUUCUUCCCGGAUCCCUGGGUGGUCUGUGGACAUGGUGAGUCUUGGAUCUUCAGAACAUCGUUUCUGUCUCCUUUCAAUAUUGCUAAAAGGAGUCUAACCACAUCUUCUCAGGUGCCAUGGUGUCACCUCCCUAGACCCAGCCCUAACUGGGUAUGGAAGCAGAUUUAGGAGAAGAGAAAGGAACAUUCACAUUUCACAGAGGAGUGGGAGCCGAGUUAUAGACCAGGUUAGACCAGUGAACAAAUGACUUAUCCCAGCUCAGCACCCAAGAUGAGCUAGGGGUAUGUCCAUGGCCAGGUUCCUCAAUCUUUCCAAGCCCUUGGGUUGAAUAGUAGCCAAAAUAAAAAUUAUUUUGAUUUGGAUGAUACUUUUGAAAUAUCCUAAGUGAUGCCCCUCCCGGUAUCCCCCGGUGGGUGUUCAAGACACACUCACUCUCUCGGGGCUUGGGAACCCCAGGCUUGGGGAGUGAAGAGGUGGCAGGCACUAAGCAGUUAGCCCAUCUAUGCAGGCUGGAUCUGGAGACUUGUCAGGUGAGAAGACAGUCAGGAGCAAUAUCUCCUGCACCCCAGAUACAGAGUCUCAGGGAUGGCAGGCAACACAAAGGUUGAUGCCACAGUCCCGAGUAUGGAGGCAGAGAGAAGCUUGGUGUGGGCACCGAAGGGAUGCUUAGCAUGGUGGAGAAACUGGGGCCUCCAGAGCUGCCAGGGCCUCUGAUUAGAGCCCAGCAUCUUUCCCUUCGGCUGCCAACCAAGCAGUGUGACAGGGCCUUGGAACUGGGGUUCUUCUAGGAAAAUUCCAUGUAGGGAGCGAGGGUGAGCCACCCACAGGAGCCCUAACGCCAAGAGAAACCCUCAGCUAUUAUAUUUAUUUCCUGGCUUUUGUCUCUCUUUUCCCCUCUACACUUGCCACUCUGCUAUGAGCCAAGCAGAGGCAGAUUGCAACUCUCCCGCUCACCAUCAUUUCGGGCAAAACCACGAAUAAAUUAAUUUUCCAUUUCUCUAUA